GUGGGGAAUUUUGGACAAUGGGCGCAAGCCUGAUCCAGCAAUGCCGCGUGCAGGAAGAAGGCCUUCGGGUUGUAAACUGCUUUUGUACGGAACGAAACGGUCCUGGCUAAUAUCCGGGGCUAAUGACGGUACCGUAAGAAUAAGCACCGGCUAACUACGUGCCAGCAGCCGCGGUAAUACGUAGGGUGCGAGCGUUAAUCGGAAUUACUGGGCGUAAAGCGUGCGCAGGCGGUGCUGUAAGACAGGCGUGAAAUCACCGGGCUCAACCUGGGAAUUGCGAUUGUGACUGCAGUGCUGGAGUGCGGAAGAGGGGGAUGGAAUUCCGCGUGUAGCAGUGAAAUGCGUAGAUAUGCGGAGGAACACCGAUGGCGAAGGCAAUCCCCUGGGCCUGCACUGACGCUCAUGCACGAAAGCGUGGGGAGCAAACAGGAUUAGAAACCCGGGUAGUCC
rnacentral:rRNA from 1 species